CUCAUGCCUCCGGCAUAUUCUCUCUCACACGCAGGCAGGAACACUUCCAUAAAGAAGACUAGAAUGACAGAGACAAACACCACUCUCACCACCACAUGAUCAGGAAGGAAAAUGGCCCUGUUAUCCUACAACAAUGGGUAAACAAAAAAUGGGCAGAAUCUACCCAUCCCCUCUCCAAAGUGACAGGCCUUGGUCAUCACACAGAAUGGAUACCACCCAGAAUUUCAUAGCUAAUGAAUAUCUUCUUUGGAAACCAUAG
rnacentral:lncRNA from 1 species